rnacentral:pre_miRNA from 1 species
UAUCUACUCCCUCCGUUCCGAAUUACUCGUCGCAGGUAUGGAUGUAUCUAGAUGUAUUUUAGUUCUAGAUACAUCCAUUUAUGCGACGAGUAAUUUGGAACGGAGGGAGUACAAG